UCCUAGAGGAUCAGUUGUUAAGUAAUCUGCCUGCAAAGCAGGAGACCUGGGUUCAAUUCCCAGGCCAGGAA
rnacentral:tRNA from 1 species